UACGUAGGGAGCAAGCGUUGUCCGGAAUCAUUGGGCGUAAAGCGCGCGUAGGUGGCCUCAUAAGUCCGCUGUGAAAGUCAAAGGCUCAACCUUUGAAAGCCGGUGGAUACUGUGAGGCUAGAGUACGGAAGAGGCGAGUGGAAUUCCUGGUGUAGCGGUGGAAUGCGCAGAUAUCAGGAGGAACACCAAUAGCGAAGGCAGCUCGCUGGGACGUUACUGACGCUGAGACACGAAAGCGUGGGGAGCAAACAGG
rnacentral:rRNA from 1 species